CGCAUCUGUGCAUGCAGCAUAUCAAUAAGCGGAGGAAAAGGGAAUCGGUCGCCCCAGUACCUACGCUUAGGAUGUUGACACACGCGCGUGCUCGACUCUAUACAUGACUCUGUGCAUAUCAAUAAGCGGAGGAAAAGAAACUAACAAGGAUUCCCUUAGUAACGGCGAGUGAAGCGGGAAGAGCUCAAAUUUGAAAUCUUCAAGGUUUUACCUUGACGAAUUGUAGUUUAAAGAAGUGUUUUCUGUUGAAGUUUUGGUAAAAGUUCUUUGGAAUAGGACAUCAUAGAGGGUGAGAAUCCCGUAUUUGACCAUUAUUUUCAGCUGUGUGAUACACUUUCAAAGAGUCGGAUUGUUUGGGAAUGCAGUCCAAAAUGGGUGGUAAAUUUCAUCUAAAGCUAAAUAUUGGCGAGAGACCGAUAGCGAACAAGUACCGUGAGGGAAAGAUGAAAAGAACUUUGAAAAGAGAGUUAAACAGUACGUGAAAUUGUCAAAAGGGAAGCGUUUGACACCAGUGUUGUUUUCUCGAAAAUCAAUUAAAAAGAGUUUGAUUUUGUUGUGUAUUGACCUUAACAGCUUGCAUUUCAAUUUUCUUGCUUUUUUUAAUGCACUUUUCGUUUAACAAGUCAACAUCAGUUUCUUUUGUUGUAAAAAGGUCAUUGGAAGGUGGCUUUCUUUUCGGAGAAAGUGUUUAUAGCCUUUGACUCCUGCAAUCGGAGAGACUGAGGUCUGCAGCGUAGAUCCUUCGGGGUUAGAUACAUUUGUGCUAAGUUAUAGCUUUUUAUAGACAACUUGUUGACUAUGAUUAGUCUUGUAGCUUACUCGCUUAUGCUAUUUUACCUACGCUUAGGAUGUUGACACACGCGCGUGCUCG
rnacentral:rRNA from 1 species